UACGUAGGUGGCAAGCGUUUGUCCGGAUUUACUGGGCGUAAAGAGUGCGCAGGCGGUCGUUCAAGUCGCGUGUGAAAGCCCCCGGCUCAACUGGGGAGGGUCACGCGAUACUGAUCGACUCGAAGGCAGGAGAGGGUAGUGGAAUUCCCGGUGUAGUGGUGAAAUGCGUAGAUAUCGGGAGGAACACCAGUGGCGAAGGCGACUACCUGGCCUGUUCUUGACGCUGAGGCGCGAAAGCUAGGGGAGCAAACGGG
rnacentral:rRNA from 1 species